rnacentral:lncRNA from 1 species
UUCAGGUCCUAUGACCAGCCAUGGGGAGGGAGAGAGGAGCAAGAACCAUGAAGGAAACCAAGACACAGACAGCAAGUCACACACAGAGUUUCAGCCACCGACGCUCCAGCACAGUACAGGAAAGUUCCAGACUCAAGGAGGAGAAUGGUGGCCCCUCGUGUGCUCGCCAGAAAUCUAAAGACACAAGUCAGACAACUGUGCUCAACGAGAAAACUAAAGCCCAGUCCCAGACCUGGAUCUAGCAGCCAUGUGCAGCGAGAAGGCACCUGACAUCGCCUACUAAUACAUGUUCCCUGCCACCUUCCUCUACCUGCAGCAGCUUCCAUUGGAACUUCAUUUCUAUGACAUUUUGAAAAUCCAUGUAGUUCAAAUUCUCUGAAAAAAACCCUGAAGUCCUGGGACUGCAGAGAUGGCUCAGUGGUUACGAGUCCUGGUCGUUUGGAUCUGGGUUCAAUUUCCAGUGCUUCCAUGGAGGCUCACUACUGGUUCCAGGAGAUCCGGCACCCUCUUCUCUUCUCAGGCUCUAGAUAUGAAGGUGAUGCACAGAUAUUUGUGUAGGUAAAAUAAUCAUAUACAAUAAAAAAAUAACCAACUGAGCUAUGCAGUUCCUUAACCCACCCC